rfam:Filimonas lacunae strain DSM 21054 genome assembly, contig: Ga0111651_101
GAGGUGUAUGCCGAAAAGCCUUACAAAUAAAAGAGUAGGCG